UAGACAAAAAUAUAGAUUUUCUUUGGAUAUGGCCGCUGUAUCGGCAAUAUAACAUCUGUAUUGUUUUGUAUAUUCAUUUUUAUAAAAUGAAUAAACUGUUUUUUAUUUAUAUAUAGUGUUUAGCAGACCGUGUACAGUGCUGUGAUAUUUGUAAUGGAAGCAGAUAGCGAGUACGAAAUAAAGAGAGUUCGUGAUGCAAUUCAAACGAUAGAGACGAUCCAGUCAAUGAUCGACGUUUCAGCUGACAGGCUCGAGGGUUUACGAACACAAUGUUCCACAAGCGCCGAACUGACGCAGCAGGAGAUCCGGACCCUGGAGGGCAAACUGGUGAAGCACUUCUCCCGUCAGCUGGUGAUCAAGGCCGGCUUCGGCGAGGAGUUGCGCCGCGAGCUCUUCCACGUGCCCCGCCUUGCGCAGUGGCUCAGGGUCGUGGGACUGAGCCCUGACUCCAUAGAGGCGGUAUGCUCGCGCGUGUCGUCGCUGGAGUCCCUGCGCGAGCGCUCGGACCACGAGAUGCGCGCGCUGCUGGCGGGCGCGCGCGACGAGGAGGUGCUGCGGCUGUGCCGCGCCAUGCACCGGCUCAGGACUUAUAUCGAGGCGCUGGGUCGCGGCGAGGGCGGCGAGGGCGGCGCGGAGCUGCAGCUGUUCUGGGACUCGUGGGAGCGGCACGCGCGCGCCUCGCCGCGCCAGCCGCGCGCGCGCGCCGCCCGCCCCGCGCCGCCCGACUGCGACGCGCACCACUGCACGCCGCAGGGGAAGAAAGGCGGCAAGUCCCCCACCACUCCAGUGGGCAAGCGCAAGCAGAAUGCUCGGCUGGGCGCAUUGGCACCACUCGGUCCUCUGGGCGGAGGGCCGCUGGCGGCGCCACUCGCCGCGCCGCUCACCAAGUCCCGCUCGCACGAGUCGCAGCUCUCCGCACGACCUGAUGCUUCCGAUCUCAGCGACAACAGCCAGUCGUCUGCGCUGGGCGGCGGCUCGGCGGCCGACGACGCGCUGGAGGGCGACGCCUCGCCGCCCGCCUCCCCGCACGCCUCCCCGCACGCCUCUCCGCACGCCUCGCCGCACGACGCCGACUCCGACCACACGCCGCUGCACCGGCCGCUACCCUACUACAACAACAACUCGUGCACAUAUCCCGCGCAUGCGCAGGGCGUGUCGGCGCCGCGCUCGCCGCGCACGCCGACGGUGAGCCGCUGCAUGGCGCACGACAUCGCGCACCGCUUCACCAAGACCUUCAACAUGAUCGCCACCUGCGACUACUGCGACAAACAGAUGCUCUUCGGCUCCGGCUUGAAGUGCAAGGAGUGCAAGUUUAAAUGUCACAGAGACUGCGAAAGUAAAGUUCCUCCAUCGUGUGGCUUGCCGCCAGAAUUCGUCGUUGCUUUCAAAGAAAAGUUUCAUAAAGAUGCAGGCGGGUACAUGUGCGCGUCGCCGGUGGGGUCGCGCGGGUUCCUGGCGUCGCUGACGAGCCGGCCGCGCCGCCGCCACGCGCCGCCCGUCAUGCACCACAACGUCAGGGACGUGCGUACACACAUACUCAUUAUUGGCGGAGGUGGACCAGACUCCUCGUCAAACACAUCGUCGUGCAACAGCUCGACACCAUCGUCACCGGCGCUGGCGCCGCCCGCGACCCCCCACGGCACCCCGCACGCAACCCCGCACGCGACCCCCCACCAGCAUCACCAUCAACCGCCGUCACACCACCACGCGCCGCAUCAUAACAAGCACCAGUUCCACUUCCCAGGUAUACGAGAAGUAAAGCCGGCGGUGUCGAGUCCGAACCACUCUGCGCACGCGGCGCUGCAGUCCCCCGCACGCGCCGCGCCCGACAACCACGACAUCAUCUCCACCGCCAGCCUCAGGAGCGAUCGUUCACGAUGUAUUUCCGGCUCCGGUUCGGGUUCGACGGACAGUCGUGCGGACUCGCUCGACCACACCAACAACUCGCGCUGGCCGCGGCAAAACAGCUUGUCGAUGAAAGAGUGGGACAUACCGUACGACGAGCUGAAGCUGUUCGAGGUGAUCGGCACGGGCCGCUUCGGCACCGUGUACCGCGGCAGCUGGCACGGCGCCGUCGCCGUCAAGCUGCUGCACGUGCACUCGCUCAGCGACGACUGCGUGCCGCUCGACACCUUCAAACACGAGGUGGCGACGUUCCGCAAGACCCGGCACGAGAACCUGGUGCUGUUCAUGGGCGCGUGCAUGAAGCCGCCGCGCCUCGCCAUCGUCACGUCGCUGUGCAAGGGCAUGACGUUGUACACGCACAUCCACCUGCGCAAGGACAAGUUCACCGCCAACAAGAGCGUGCUCGUCGCCCAGCAGAUAUCACAGGGCAUGGGCUAUUUGCACGCACGCGGCAUCAUCCACAAAGACUUGAAAUCUAAAAAUAUCUUCCUCGAGAACGGCAAGGUGGUGAUCACCGACUUCGGGCUGUUCAGCGUCACCAAACUAUGCUUCGGGAACAAUGCCCGCGGCGACAGCCUGGGCAUCCCGCCGGGCUGGCUGUGCUACCUGGCGCCCGAGGUCACGCGCGCGCUCACGCCGCACGCCUCGCUGCACCUGCCCUUCUCCAAGGCCACCGACGUCUACGCCUUCGGGACUGUAUGGUACGAGCUGUUGUGCGGCGAGUUUCCUUUCAAAGGCCAGCCACCGGAGGCGAUCAUCUGGCAGGUUGGCAAGGGUGUCAAGCAGUCGCUGGCCAACAUGCAAGCGUCCAGAGACAUUAAGGACAUCCUGAUGCAGUGCUGGUCGUACCGAUCGUGCGACCGGCCCGACUUCCCGACGCUGCUGACGACGCUCCAGAAGCUCCCGAAGAAGCGCCUGGCGCGCUCCCCCUCGCACCCCGUGCACCUGUCGCGCUCCGCCGACUCCGUGUUCUGAGGCCAGGCGUGUGCCGCCGCGCGCCCGGCGCCGGCGCUGCCGAUCGCGUGGCUAGCGACCUCACUUCACAUCACCGCCUAUUACUUGAAGUGCCUGAUGUCGCCCGUAUCCAGAGUUGCAAAGUUAAGUGUGGCCAAAGUUAAAAAUUAUGUCAGUGCGAGGAAAUUUUAAAUGUAUGAUUUUCGAUAAGAAACAUUCACUUUAUAAAUUAUUGUAAGUAAGGCGUCAUACAAAUUAUUAAAAUAAGAAGAGACUUGAGCUACGAAAUAAUAUUCCGCGUGUGAAUUAUUUAAUCGAUAUUUUAAACGAGCGAAUUCUUUACCACCCGUAAAUAUAUCGAUAAUACUUAAUCGUGCGUUAUUUUUUACAAACGCAAAACGACGUUGAUUUUUUUCAAAUAUUCCACAAAGGAAUAUGUGAAAAGAACAGAUGCAUUCGAAUAAUGCAAACGAAUAAUCCCGAAGUGUACAGAUGGAACUUAUUUAUUGUUUAACAUUGUCCAGUGUAACAGACGGGUCAUCGCUACUUAUUGUAUAUAUAAUUAUAUAAUACCGCUGUACAUUGUGUUAAUAUUUAAAAUUACGCUAUAGCAAGUAAUGUCUCGAUCUCUGUACUAGUAGAUUAUAUUAUAUUUUCGUAUUUAAUUAAUGAGUAAAUUGAAAGUUGACUGCUUUGUUAAAAUGAAUUAAAAAAAAUACUUGUAAAUAUUUGUACAGUGUUACGAAUUUUUGCUGUGAUUGAUUGACGCUUUGAGUGCACUGGGGUUUGGUUUAAGUCCUGAAAUAUUUUCAUUAACACUAGUGGUACAUAGAAGAAAUUCCGUUAAAAAUUACAAGAACAAAAUUAUGUAACAUUUGGAAGUUUGUAAAUAGUUUUAAAAGUCGAUAAAAAUGUACAUACUAUCGAAUAAGUUUACUAAUUUAUUGUUUUGCAUAUCUUUCACUUUGUUAAUAGCGUAUAGAUUUGAACUACUUAAUUAGCGCCAAAAGCCAGCGCACUCAACAUCUAAAAAGUUCAGUCUUAAUAUUUACUUUAAGGGUUAACGAUUAUCAUAUAACGAUUACAGGUUUCGAUUAUAGUAAUUCAGUCGUGUGUUCCAGAGGGACGUUACUCGUUAUCUCUCCAUGACCUAUUGCAGUUUGAAUUUAUUUAUUAUAGAACUAUAGACCAAGUAAAUAGCAUUUGUACAUGAUUAGAAGAGUGUGAUUUUUAUCGAUGUUUAUCGAUAGUAACAGGUAUGUGUAAUCGAUAUUUGUCGAUAGUCGUUGGAUUAUAGGCUGACAUGCGUGGUGUAAAUUUAUAUUUAGAAGUUCAGAGGUGAAUAUUAUAUAGAUUUUUGAUUCUGAUCAGUUAUGUUUGUGUACGGUAAGUAAUGUCAAAGUUUGUUGAUUGCUUGUAUUAUUUUUUAUAUUUAUCAUAAAGAUAAUAGACAACGUAAUUCCGACCACAGAGUAUUGACGAUGAUUUGUAUAUUUCUAUUAAUAUUAUGUUUUGCAUACUUUGACCGCUGGUUUAUCUUAUUACAUACCAUAAGCAUGUUGUUCGGGAAAAAAUCUGUUUUUACAAACGCUAUUGAUGAAAUUCGAUAAAAAUCACAUCUAUGUAAAUCGCUCGAUUGUUUUUUUGUGUAAAUAUUGAAAAAAGAAUAACAUUCCUUUUGGUAGGUUGUUGGAGUUGAACUUGAUAGUUACUGUUCAUACUGCGUGUACAUUUAUUUGUGUAAUCUUUUGAAAAGUUACCAAUUUAUCAUAGUGUGUCUAAGAGGCUUAUCUUUAGGUACUAGGAGGGUUUCGCAGUGGCAACGUAGGCUGCGCGCUUGGGUCUAGCAAAUGGAGAUCUACUUAGACUAAUAGAUUCACUCGAGUAAUGUAAUAAGUCAGACUGCUCCCUUGGUCUAAUUGCAGUGCACUUGGCAUGUGAAGUCGAUAUAUUAGGUACGUUUCUCAGAAGGCCUGACGUAAAUUUGUGAGUUUUUCGGGUCGGUAAAGACCUGGUUUGUCGAGGGUUGGGAUUAUAUCUGAUAUGAUGUUGGGAUUGUCUUGUGACAUGAAAAAGCGAUCGCUGAAUUGAAUGUAUUCUGCACCUCUGCCUUCCUUUACAGGUUACAGGCAUGAUGGUAUGUGUAAUAAGUUCGAUGAGAUAUUAUGCUGUACUUAUAAGUCGAUGCGUCAUAUUGUCGCGUAGAUUGCGACAUAAACAUUUUUUUUGUUAUAUUAGUCCAAAUUAUUUACUUUAUAAAGAAGUAAUUAAUAAUGUUAUUCCUUAUUGUUACAUGAAUAAAUGUUCCUGGUAAAGAAUAUUUACCAACAUCUUCUCCACUUUCUAGAUUCGUUCGCAUGGGUCUGGUGUUGAAAGGUGUGAUUAGUAGAUAAAUAUAUCAUGAUUGUCAUCAUAAAAUAGGAAAAUAAAUUAAUUUAAAAAAUUGAAAAAAAAAUCACUAAGGUUCGAGUUUUAUUAUCGUUUUUAAAAAUAUAAAUAUGAACAAAAGUUAAUUAUUCUGGUCACUCAACUCCUAUUAAAUUGAUAGUUAAUUGUUUUGUAAAUUUAAUGCUGAAGUGACGUGGCGCGAGUGCGCGUUUUUAUCGAUGUCACAUCGAUAUAUCGACACAAUCACGUUCCUAUAUGAUAAGUGUUGCCAUGUUGUACCCACAAAUCUACUAUGUAAAUUAAAUGUAAGGGUAGUAUUGUCGUAAACUUUUGUUCACAAUGAAUUUAAUUUACAUUUUUGAUCGUAAAAUACAAGAGACUGAUAAAUGUGCAGACCUAAUUUUGAGAAGAGCUGUAGGAAAGCUUUGUAAGUAAUAGCAUAGAAUGACAUGGUGGACCUUGUUGCCGCUUAUAAUGUUGUCGAUAUAUCGUAUUAAGUAUCGAUGUCGAUAAAAUCCGCACGAGUGGCGAGGGCCACAGUGAUGUGUAUAUAGCGGAAGUGGCGCGGCUUGAACGUUUGUAAUAUACAUAUUUAUUCAAUAGGUGCCGAGGUUGGAACACAGUUGUAGUUUUACAUUAUGUAUUGAGAUUUCGAAAUGAUUAGGUUAGUUGCAUUUGCCAAAAUAAAUUCUCCGUCACUGUUAA
rnacentral:misc_RNA from 1 species